rnacentral:lncRNA from 1 species
UUCGAUCUCCCUUGAAGGUAGGAGUAGAAUCGAAUGACCAUACUCUUCAUUUCCUGUCCAUCAAACACCCUUCUGUUAUUCUCAUCAUUGAGGAAGUGAAUGACAUUCCUAGCCAGAUUUGCCUUAACAGACUUGUGAAAAAAAGCCGUGUUCAGAUCUCCUUUUGUCUCCCAUCUGACCCUGGACUUUAGUUUGAAAAAGUUUUGUUCAGCUGCAGCCAGCAGGAGCCAAGAAUCUCUGGCAGUUGCCUUAACCUGAAACAGCUGAGUCGAGGGAGCCGUCAAAACCUGAGAUUGAAUAUCCUGCAGCUUCUCAAAUGCCUCUUUGGUUCUCUUUUCAAUAUUGCUGAAACCCUCUCUAUUUAUCCCUUUGCCACAAAUCUUUGCUGCUCUCAGCUUUUGAUAAAAGGAUAUUAAUGGUGCUGAAGAUAAGACCGAAGAAGUCCAGGCAGCCUCCAGAAGUUCUCUGUAGUUCGGGUGGGAAGUGAAGAAGGUGAAUCUGGUAUUCCUUCGAGGAGGGUCAAUUCCAAAUUGCACUAUGCAAGGCGAGUGGUCCUGGGGCGUCAAAGAUUGCUAGUGAAUUAGGAAACUUUUCAACCCAUGCCUCA